CUUUCAACCAAUCGCUGAUCUUGCUACGGUGACAGACACUUUUAUGAGCCAAUGGUAGCAGCGCAUUCAGUUCACACAGGUGCCAGCACGAGCACAGAGUGAGAGCGAGUCAGAUGAGCAGCUGCACGGGGCGAUCUCAAGAAACUAAAAUAUUUAUUAAGAGGAAAAAGUGAUUCAAAACAGUGAUUUAAAACAAAUUACUGGAUUCCUGAAGUGAUGCGAUAACUUGGAAAAGCUGUCGCUAGAGUGAGGAGAGAGCAAAAUAGAGAAUUAGAACGGAGGCAGAUGCAGAAUCACAGAGCAUCAAAACACUGCGAAUUAACUUCUUUUUUUAAAUAAGAAGUUAAAAUGUAUGCUUUGGCUGGUUUUUUUGUGAGAAUUGCGAACAUCUGUGAAGUUCUCCUGCUCCAUCUUGGACACGCGAGACAAUUAAGUAUAUACUGAAGGUGUAUACAAAAAGGCGAGCCAACCAGAACUGUGCUUUGAACUCAUCAGAACUGGUAGGAGGAUAUUUUUCCUUUUUGUUUCAGACAACUACUAGGACGUGAAUUCGCUGAAACUUAAUUUUCCGUAUUUUCUUGGAUUUUCUUCAAAGGACACUGAAUUUGAACUGAACUAUUUUAAGGAACAAACGGCAAUCAGCAAUACCACCUUUACCCCAGCAGCAUUAUGCCAUUAUUUACCUGCGACUGCUCGUAAAUAAUCAAUAUUAAUUAUUGUUUUAUUACUAUAGAAAACUGCAAAACCAUUUCGCCCAGCCAUUGGAACUUCUUACUUGUAAACUUUUUAAAUAUCUGUAGUGGAGUAUUAAGAAAGAAUGCAGUACACAGUUGUGUAUGCAGACAAUAUAUACUAAUAAAGCAAUGCAUGCCUAAAAACAUUUUAAUGUAUGUCUCUUCCCACAUUCAAGUCCCACAACUCCCUCAACCAGGAACUAACAUAUCCAGAUGAAAUUCACACUACCUGAGUCAGAUGUCACGGAGAUCACCCAGACACCAGAAAUCAAUCACACAGAACUCAGCGGUGAUGAGAAACAUUCAGCUGACCUGUGAGUGGGUGAAGGAGACCACUUUACUGGGAAGAUGGGCUGCAAAAGAGAAAAGAGCAGGAGGUGAGCGCACGUGAACGCGCCGAUGACGUAUGGUGUCUGCGUGGACUCGCUGCACGUUUUCCCAAGUGUGGCCCUCCGCUAACUUUGCCAAAGUAACUGUGGCCCUCAGGCUAAAACUGUUGCCCACCCCUGGGUUAGAUGAUGUUUUUCUCAAUUUGUGUCAGAAUGACAUUCCUCUGAUACGAAGGUGGUAGUGUGCUGUUCCCUGGACAACUUCACUUCGCAAAUCAGAGUCCAGUGAAAACCAUAGACAUUAUAUACAUAGACACCUCAUGACGUGCUGGAACGCAUCAAGCGUCAACGCCAUAUUGGAUGGGUCUCCUCACUGUACGCUAGCACCAGAGUCAAUCUGAGUUAACGGAAAGAAAGCAACUAUGCCCGUUUCCCAGUGAUACAGGCAUGAGGAGGCAAUAGGAAGUUGCUAUAAAACGGGAGGGUUUUGUUGUGACAGAGUCGUCAAAGCUCUGUAGUGAGCACUUCAAGCCUGAUGAUUUUGACAGGAUGGGUCAGAUUGUCAGGCUUAGAGAUGGUGCGACCCCACCUGUCUUCAACUUCCUACGUCAUCUCCAAAGAAAUCUCUCCUUUGUAGUGCUCCUGUCCUCUCGGCUCCGGAUGUGUGUCAGGCGUUCCAGCUGGAGGUGGAUGCCAGUGCUGUCGGAGCGGGAGCUGUCCUUUAACAGGAGGGUGCUGACGGAAUAGCUCAUCCUGUAUCCUACUUUUCUUCUAAGUUUAAUCGUCAUCAACUUAACUACUCAACAAUUGAGAAGGAGACUUUAGCUCUUUUAUUGGCAUUACAACAUUUCAAUGUUUAUGUGGGGGCCAGUAGGUAUCCGGUUAUGAUUUAUACGGAUCAUAAUCCGUUAGUCUUUCUCAGUAAAAUGUAUAAUCACAAUCAACGUUUGAUGAGAUGGGCACUAAUGGUGCAGCCGUAUGAUUUAGAGAUCCGUGGUGGCCGAUGCUUUAUCCCAGGGUUAAUUCAGUGUGUGUCAGAAGCCCCCUUAUUUUUCCUUAACUCUAAAAGGAGUUGGAGGAAAACUUUAUCCGUUUUUGUUUUUUAGGGGGGAAGUGUUACGGCCAUGUUUUGUAUUUAUUAUUAUGUUGUGUGGUAUGUAGUAUUGAUUUGGUUUAUCCUUUUACCGAGGAGAAGCUCCGCCCUCGUGCACCUGCGGCUUAUGAUGACGUUUGGGGUGGAGAUAAAAGGAGAGUGUGGAUGUGUGAGAAGGCUGAGUUCCCUAUGCUGUUUCCAUCUGAACUCCAGUCGCCCGGUCGCCACUGCCACUGUCUUUAGCUCUUCCUGAGCGUGGCGCACACUUGAGGGGAAGCUCUAUUGGUCCCGCUGCUUUAAAAAGAGCUCCGUGUGCGUCUGAUAUUCCGCUGAUGCUGAAAAGCUGUGUGUUUAUUAAAUUUUUUUGGCUGUUCUAUGUUUUUGUUUUGUUAAAUGUUUGUAAAAGUCUUUUGUCCGCAACCCUUAACAGUAGUUGCCCGUGGCACGUGAGUGCAGCGGCAUUAAUAAAUAUUUAAAUGGUGCUUUGACUCCCGUGUCCUUUUUUAUGUUGCGUGAACCCCACUACCCUUACGAGCAAUUUUGAGGGGGUUCGUAACAAUACGUGCACACACUCAAGCCCAAUGCGCGUUUUAAAAAUCACGCAAACACAUAAUUUCUUUGGGCUUGACAGGAGAUAUACGCACAAAUGAUCUUGUAAUGCCACAGUCUCUGCAAGUAUACUCAUAAAAAUAGACAUUUAUAAGUGAGCAGUUGAUCAGAUGUGUCACUGUAUAGAUCAGCGCUUCUCCACCGGCAUUAAAGGGACAGUGAUCUUAUAAGAAAAGCUUAUGUUUGAGUCGUUAUGUAAAUCAGACUACAGAAGACAAAAGGAAAAUCACUUUUAUAGCUUCAAAAAGAUCAAUUAUAUUUAAUUUAUAGAAUGAAAACAGUGCUAUAUUAAUUUGAUACGGUUUCUCUACCUAAUCAAUCUUAGAUCUUACUUUAUUUGUAACUUAGUUCUUUUUUGUUUUAUAUGCUUGUAAUUUCUUGAUUUGUUCUUAUUUUAUUUUCCCACAUCACUUUUUUGCUGAUCUGAAAAUUAUUCAACCCAUGACUCAAAAACCAUAAUGCAAUUCAUUUAACCAGUACUAUAUUGUAAAAUUACAUUUACUGUAGGGAUUCAGGUCCACCCUAUUCCAAGGCCAACUUAAAAUUGUAUGGCCUUGAGACUGAUGGUCAGAUUAUGGCAAAAUAAAAUUAUUGCAGUUGUAAAAUAGUAAGGGAAUGCUACUUGUUACAGCUUUCCACAUGUAUUAACCCAUUUAAUUAAACAUGGUUUUGGAUAACCUACUAGUCGAAGCUAAAGUCGAGGCUAAAACGAAAAGCAAAUCGAAUAGUGAAAAGAAUAAGGAGAACCAUCUGGAAAAUGAAAUCAGAAAUGUUAAACGGAAAUGCCCUUUUAAAGCUGUAUUUGUAGUUCAAUUUAUAAAUCCAGUUAUUUAUUUAUCUUUUUAAAUCAAUUUUUGAAAUACAUUUUGAAAUUCCAUUAUUUAAUUAAGAAUUUGUAAAUGCAAUUUAAAAUGAUGAACUUAUUGAGUGUUUUAUGUUGUUUUUUGUAAAUAGUUAUAUUACUUUGAACUAUUUAUUAAUGGAUUAAUAUUUCAUUUCUACAUUACUUUUAUAAUCUCACUUUUUAUUGCCUAAUAAAAUGUUACAUAAUGAUUUUUUUGCAACUUUGUCUAUUUAUUUAUAGAUUAAUUAAUUAAUUUUUAAACAGAUGUAUUAAUUGCUAUUUUUAUUGUCCAUGUAGUUAUUAAAUAUUGAAGUUCUUUAUUACAUUUUGUAUGACUCUUGUGGUCCUCCAUAAUCUACAAGGCACAGAUUUGGUUAAAAUAUUAAGGGGGUUGAAGUGUUAAGUGUACAUAAUGUUGUUAUAAUAAAUCAUUUGUAAAUAUUGGGUUGUCAUUGCUAGUUUAAAUUAUUGGGGGGUUACCUCUCCCCAUCCACCUGGACACUAAGCCUCCAUUACUAAAACAAUGUAACCGAGUAUCUUAUAAAACUGAUUUAAUAAAUUCCUUUUUUUGUUAUUUUUCUAAUGUGUUCUAACUCUUAUUUUAACAGCAUUAGUAAUGCAAAUAGCAUUGCUGUAUUUUCAUAAUGCUGUUAAAAUAAGAGUUUAAAAAUGUGUCUAACAUUCAUUUCUUAUUGUAAGAUGUUUUAUUUUACCGACUUUAAUGUAAUAAAAAUAUCAGUAUCUGCA